UCCACAUACAUGCGACGUUUGGCAUAAUUUCAACGCCACCACUAUGUGUGUAGCAAUAAUGUACAAAUUUAGCCAACGCCAGCACUAUUCAAAAAUAUUAAUGGUGGCGUUGUCUGGAAACGCCGCGCCACCAACAGGAGUUGUGGCUACCAUUACUCCACUAGUGUCGUGAAGACCAUAUGCUUGAAAACUAUGGAGAGAUCAUGUUUUCGGUCUUCGAUUUGAGGGAUCGUUCGUGAUCGGUUCAAGGGACUACAUCGACGAUCUACACCGACUCUUCUUUUACCGCAACUCGGAGUUGGCAACAUUCGAUCUAAACC
rnacentral:lncRNA from 1 species